AGGGGUAUAGUUUAAGGGUAGAACAAAGGUCUCCAAAACCUUCGGUAUGGGUUCAAUUCCUGUUACCCCUG
rnacentral:tRNA from 2 species